CUGCAGUUCCUCGGACGGCCGCUGCUUCUCCUCCGGACCACCAGGGGGCGACAGAACCACUCAGAGUAACACCCUCAUUCUCUGGUGUUUGGAUGUAGCCAGAAGAGCUAGCGUUAGCUGCGGCUCGAGACGAGGUUCAGAGGUCAAAGGUCAGCAGCUCCACUCUUCUUCAUGGUCAAACAGGUGGUUCUUCUUCUGUGGUCUCUGCAGGUUUUCUCUACCUGCUGCAGGCGGCUGUGUCCCGAGGGUUCGAUUCCCGGUCGGUCCGAUGCAGAAGAGGCCUCCUCCAGCUCAGCAGUGCUGGCGUUGUUUUUAAAGCGGGAUGUGCUUCAUGAAGCCUGGCUGGGUCCGUGUGGACCCUCCAGACGCUGAACAGACUCUAGAGUAGGAUGAAGGGAAGUUAACGGUGUAGUUCUGUUUAUCUGGAUACUCCAGAGUCUGUGAUAUGUGACCUGGUGCAGUUAACUGUGUUAU